rnacentral:rRNA from 1 species
AAGUCGAACGAACUUAACCAUUAGUUUACUAUUGGAGCGGUUAGUGGCGGACUGGUGAGUAACACGUAAGCAACCUGCCUAUCAGAGGGGAACAACAGUUAGAAAUGACUGCUAAUACCGCAUAUGCCUUAGAAUCACAUGGUUCAAAAGGGAAAGGAGCAAUCCGCUGAUAGAUGGGCUUGCGUCUGAUUAGCUAGUUGGUGGGGUAACGGCCUACCAAGGCGACGAUCAGUAGCCGAACUGAGAGGUUGAACGGCCACAUUGGGACUGAGAUACGGCCCAGACUCCUACGGGAGGCAGCAGUCGGGAAUAUUGCGCAAUGGAGGAAACUUUGACGCAGUGACGCCGCGUGCAGGAAGAAGGUUUUCGGAUUGUAAACUGCUUUAGACAGGGAAGAACAAAGACAGUACCUGUAGAAUAAGCUCCGGCUAACUACGUGCCAGCAGCCGCGGUAAUACGUAGGGAGCGAGCGUUACCCGGAUUUAUUGGGUGUAAAGGGUGCGUAGACGGGAAGUCAAGUUAGUUGUGAAAUCCCUCGGCUUAACUGAGGAACUGCAACUAAAACUGAUUUUCUUGAGUACUGGAGAGGAAAGUGGAAUUCCUAGUGUAGCGGUGAAAUGCGUAGAUAUUAGGAGGAACACCGGUGGCGAAGGCGACUUUCUGGACAGAAACUGACGUUGAGGCACGAAAGUGUGGGGAGCAAACAGGAUUAGAUACCCUGGUAGUCCACACCGUAAACGAUGGAUACUAGGUGUAGGGGAUAUUAAAAUUCUCUGCGCCGCCGCUAACGCAAUAAGUAUCCCACCUGGGGAGUAC